CAAGUUCCAACAGCAGGGGGAAACCCAUCCAUCCAGAUAUUCAAAUAACUAAUAGUAGGAAGGUGUCAGUCCUAGUGAAAAUCCAUCUGGAUAACAGUCACUGACUCAGAGAGUCAUCAAGAUAUAAAGGAUGAAAGCAGAAAGACAAGAAACAAAGUCUUACGUGACCAAAUGAAAAGAGAGUUUGCUUAAAGCAGUACUACCCUAGGGAAAAUGGUCUAUUAAACACAGCAGAUAAGACAGAAGAUCUUACGUAGAUGCAAGUGGCUUCUUAUAGCACCUAAUAAAAACAUUAAGAAAAAAAACACAACACAGCAAAAAUAAGCAGUAUAACUCAUAUCCUGUUUGGACAAGAGCUUUCAUAGGGUAAAGUCUGCAGUGGGCAUCUUGAGAUACAG